rnacentral:lncRNA from 10 species
CAGAAAGGAUUUUCUAAUUCCAUAGGCCAGUCUAGAUCCUGUACAUGAGUCAGCUUUGGCUGCAUAACAGCCGCGAAAACCUCAGCUGCAGAAAACAGUAUGUAUUUCUUGCAUCCUGAUGACUUAGACUGGACUCCCUGGGCUUGGCUCCAAACUGCAGGUGAGGCUCAGCCCUGUGGCCUGGCAGGCUAGCCCAGGGCUGUUCUUCUCAUGGCGAAAAAGAGGUGGGCAAGAAGGCAAGCCCCAUUAAGAAGUGCGUGUCAAGCCUCUGCUCCUGCUACAUCCCCCUCAACAGCCCACUGCCCAAAGCAAUCUCUCAGCAAAGCCCAAACUCGAGGUGCAGGGAAGGGAACAGUCAUGAAUGAUAACAGCACCCGCCACUGCCCACAACAUAUGCACAUCACAGAGUUUGGUGCUCCAGUUCUCAUCACAGCAUAAACUUGCUGACCGAGUUUCCGACAGUUGAGACCAGACAUCAUUGACUUUGCGGGAAGAAAGCCCUGGCUUCUCUCUACUGAAGUGUCGCUCCAGUCUGGCCUCUUGCCAGGACAGAGGAGGUCAUCCCUGACGGAACUGUGAUCAGCGUCUCUCAGCCUCAGUCCCUGCUGACAUAUCCUCAGAACCUUGCUAUACUGGACCUCACAAUGAAUAAUCAGGCGAUGAAUAAUCAGACCUCUUCUCGCCAUGGCCAGAGCCUAACUGGGGAGACAGGAUUUGUGUGCAGGGCAGGACCAUCUUGCCGGAAGCGUGCUGUUACCAUGGCACCCAACACGGCAUCUGGUGUUACGUGAACAUCCUCCUCUGACUGCGAACAGAUGGGUGGAUUGUUUUUCCAGAAGGAUGAGCUCUAUUUCAUGAUGAAAAUCACCCAGGUGUUUUUGCACAAAUCAUAGGUUUAGUCCCCCAGAUGCGUUUUUUACUGAAGUCUCUGGCUGUGUUCCUCACAGCCCAGAGGCCUGAUGUGCUCUCUGUCUGCAUUCAGCCACCGUCUGGGUGUGGGACUCAGAGUGAGCCUCAGCCCAAGUACCGCCACCCCAUGUGGAGUGAGGAGAUUGCACUAGACCGGUGGUGUUUCUCAAACUUGGACCACUGGUGUUUCUCAAACUUGGACCACUGGUGUUUCUCAAACUUGGAUGGGUGUAAGAAUCAUCAGGAAAGUUCAUAACAUGCGGAUUCUUGGACUCUACCUCCAGCCCUGCGUCACGGUUGGAAGUUGGUCCCCGCCCACCCUGCAUCCUCUCCCUGUAUCCUGCUUGGGCAUUGCGUUUCAUCAAUCUCUUGCUCAUUUCUUCUGUCUUGACGUCUGCCUCCCAGAUGACCAAAGUGACACAGGGUCUUGCUCCGUUGUCCAGGCUGGAGUACAGUGGCACGAUCAUAGGUCACUGCACCCUUGACCUCCUGGGCUCAAGUGAUCCUCCCACCUCAGCAUCUCAAACUGCUGGGACUGUAGUUGUGAGUCACCGUGCCCAGCCUUCUGGGGAGUUUAGAUCUGUGACUAAGCAAAAAGAACAAAUCUGGAGGCAUCACUUUACCUGACUUCAAACUAUACUAUAAGGCUAUCGUCACAAAAACAGCAUGGUACUAAUAUAAAAAUAGGCACAGAGACCAAUGGAACAUAAUAGAGAACCCAGAAAUGAAGCCAAAUACUUACAGCCAACUGAUCUUCAACAAAGCAAAUGAAAACAAAGUGGGGAAAGGACAGCCUAUUCAGCAAAUGGUGCUGAGAUAAUUGGCAAGCCACAUGUAGAAGAAUAAAACUGGAUCCUCGUCUCUCACGUUAUACAAAAAUCAACUCAGGAUAGAUCAAAGACUUAAAUCUACAACCUGAAACCAUAAACAUUCUAGAAGAUAACAUCGGAAACAUCCUUCUAGACGUUGGCUUAGGCAAAGACUUUGUGACCAAGAACCCAAAAGCAAAUGCAACAAAAACAAAGAUAAAUAGAUGGGACUUAAUUAAACUAAAAAGCUUCGGCACUGCAAAAGAAAUAAUCAGCAGAGUUAACAGACACCGCA